UCCGUAGGCGGGUAAUUAAGUCAGAGGUGAAAUCCCACAGCUUAACUGUGGAACUGCCUUAGAUACUGGUUAUCUUGAGUUUUAGUGAAGUAGAUAGAAUGUGUAGUGUAGCGGUGAAAUGCAUAGAUAUUACACAGAAUACCGAUUGCGAAGGCAGUCUACUAACCAACAACUGACGCUAAUGGACGAAAGCGUGGGGAGCGAACAGGAUUAGAUACCCUGGUAGUCC
rnacentral:rRNA from 1 species